rnacentral:rRNA from 1 species
CCUACGGGUGGCUGCAGUGGGGAAUAUUGCUCAAUGGCGGAAACCCUGAAGCAGCAAAGCCGCGUGAGGGAUGAAGGUUUUAGGAUUGUAAAACCCUUUUGUUCGGGAAGCAAAUGACGGUAUCUAACGAAUAAGCACCGGCUAACUCCGUGCCAGGUGCCGCGGUAAUACGGCGGGUGCCAGCGUUAUUCGGAAUAACUGGGCGUAAAGGGGGCGUAGGCGGGAGAGCAAGUCAGAUGUGAAAUCCUAGGGCUUAACCACAGAACUGCAUUUGAAACUGUUAUUCUAGAGUGUGGGAGAGGUAGGUGGAAUGCGUGGUGUAGCGGUAAAAUGCGUAGAGAUCAAGAAGAACACACAUUGCGAAGGCGGCCUGCUGGAACAUAACUGACGCUGAUGCGCGAAAGCGUGGGGAGCGAACAGGAUUAGAUACCCCUGUAGUC